rnacentral:rRNA from 1 species
AGUGAACGCUGGCGGUAGGCCUAACACAUGCAAGUCGAACGGCAGCACAGUAAGAGCUUGCUCUUACGGGUGGCGAGUGGCGGACGGGUGAGGAAUACAUCGGAAUCUACUUUUUCGUGGGGGAUAACGUAGGGAAACUUACGCUAAUACCGCAUACGACCUACGGGUGAAAGCAGGGGAUCUUCGGACCUUGCGCGAUUGAAUGAGCCGAUGUCGGAUUAGCUAGUUGGCGGGGUAAAGGCCCACCAAGGCGACGAUCCGUAGCUGGUCUGAGAGGAUGAUCAGCCACACUGGAACUGAGACACGGUCCAGACUCCUACGGGAGGCAGCAGUGGGGAAUAUUGGACAAUGGGCGCAAGCCUGAUCCAGCCAUACCGCGUGGGUGAAGAAGGCCUUCGGGUUGUAAAGCCCUUUUGUUGGGAAAGAAAAGCAGCAGGUUAAACCCCGCUGUUCUGACGGUACCCAAAGAAUAAGCACCGGCUAACUUCGUG